AAUGAACGUUGGCGGCGUGGAUUAGGCAUGCAAGUCGUGCGAGAAGUCUUUUGCUUGCAUUAGACGGAAAGCGGCGAAAGGGAGAGUAACGCGUGGGUACCUACCUCUAGGUUCGGGAUAGCUGCGGGAGACUGUGGGUAAUACCGAAUAACAUCUCCGGAUCAAAGGUGUGAUUCCGCCUGGAGACGGGCCCGCGUCCUAUUAGCUUGUUGGUGGGGUAAUGGCUUACCAAGGCAAUGAUGGGUAUCGGGCGUGAGAGCGUGACCCGACUCCCUGGGACUGAGACACUGCCCAGACACCUACGGGUGGCUGCAGUCGAGAAUCGUCGGCAAUGGGCGCAAGCCUGACCGAGCGACGCCGCGUGCGGGAUGAAGGCCGUCGGGUUGUAAACCGCUGUCAGUUGGGAGGAAAUCACAUGGGGUUCUCUCCAUGUGUUGACCUAUCUUCAGAGGAAGGACGGGCUAAGUUCGUGCCAGCCGCCGCGGUAAUAC
rnacentral:rRNA from 1 species